UACGAAGGGGGCUAGCGUUGCUCGGAAUUACUGGGCGUAAAGGGCGCGUAGGCGGCUCUGUUAGUCAGGCGUGAAAUUCCUGGGCUCAACCUGGGGACUGCGCUUGAUACGGCGGGGCUUGAGGAUGGAAGAGGGUCGUGGAAUUCCCAGUGUAGAGGUGAAAUUCGUAGAUAUUGGGAAGAACACCGGUGGCGAAGGCGGCGAGCUGGUCCAUUACUGACGCUGAGGCGCGACAGCGUGGGGAGCAAACAGG
rnacentral:rRNA from 1 species